ACGUCCCUGCUGUGCCCGUGAUGCCGCCCCACCGUUUUGAGCCAACAGUGCUAACUCGGGGGCCCAUCUCACGACGGGAAUGCGGUAGGCGGAAAUUGAGCCAAGGCAAACCCUGACGGGCGGUCCCCACCUGCGAAAGCAGGUUCAAAACUCUGCGCACACGGCAUGGCGGGGCGCA
rnacentral:other from 1 species